rnacentral:rRNA from 1 species
AGUGAACGCUGGCGGCGUGCCUAAUACAUGCAAGUCGAACGAACGAAUAAGAGAUUGCUCUUAUAAGUUAGUGGCGCACGGGUGAGUAAUAUAUAGCUAAUCUGCCUCUUAGUAGAGGAUAACAGUCGGAAACGAUUGCUAAUACUCUAUACUUCUGCUUUACAUAAGUAAAGUAGAGAAAGUUUUUCGCUAAGAGAUGAGGCUAUACUGUAUCAGCUAGUUGGUAAGGUAACGGCUUACCAAGGCUAUGACGCAUAACUGGUCUGAGAGGAUGAUCAGUCACAUUGGAACUGAGACACGGUCCAAACUCCUACGGGAGGCAGCAGUAGGGAAUAUUGCGCAAUGGGGGAAACCCUGACGCAGCAACGCCGCGUGGAGGAUGACACUUUUCGGAGCGUAAACUCCUUUUAUCGGGAAAGAAUAAUGACGGUACCCGAUGAAUAAGCACCGGCUAACUCCGUG